CCUACGGGAGGCUGCAGUGGGGAAUAUUGGACAAUGGGGGGAACCCUGAUCCAGCCAUGCCGCGUGUGUGAAGAAGGCCCUCGGGUUGUAAAGCACUUUCAGUGAGGAAGAACGCCUGGUGGUUAAUACCCAUCAGGAAAGACAUCACUCACAGAAGAAGCACCGGCUAACUCCGUGCCAGCGGCCGCGGUAAUACGGAGGGUGCGAGCGUUAAUCGGAAUUACUGGGCGUAAAGCGCGCGUAGGUGGCUUGAUAAGCCGGUUGUGAAAGCCCCGGGCUCAACCUGGGAACGGCAUCCGGAACUGUCAAGCUAGAGUGCAGGAGAGGAAGGUAGAAUUCCCGGUGUAGCGGUGAAAUGCGUAGAGAUCGGGAGGAAUACCAGUGGCGAAGGCGGCCUUCUGGACUGACACUGACACUGAGGUGCGAAAGCGUGGGUAGCAAACAGGAUUAGAUACCCUUGUAGUC
rnacentral:rRNA from 1 species